GAUGAAGAACGUAGCGAAAUGCGAUACGUAAUGUGAAUUGCAAAUUCACUGAAUCAUCGAGUCUUUGAACGCACAUUGCGCCCCCUGGUAUUCCGGGGGGCAUGCCUGUCCGAGCGUCAUUGCUGCCCUCAAGCACGGCUUGUGUGUUGGGCCCCGUCCUCCGAUCCCGGGGGACGGGCCCGAAAGGCAGCGGCGGCACCGCGUCCGGUCCUCGAGCGUAUGGGGCUUUGUCACCCGCUCUGUAGGCCCGGCCGGCGCUUGCCGAUCAACCCAAAUUUUUAUCCAGGUUGACCUCGGAUCAGGUAGGGAUACCCGCUGAACUUAAGCAUAUCAAUAAGCGGAGGA
rnacentral:misc_RNA from 1 species